rnacentral:rRNA from 1 species
GACGAACGCUGGCGGCGUGCUUAACACAUGCAAGUCGAACGGAAAGGCCCUGCUUUUGUGGGGUGCUCGAGUGGCGAACGGGUGAGUAACACGUGAGUAACCUGCCCUUGACUUUGGGAUAACUUCAGGAAACUGGGGCUAAUACCGGAUAGGAGCUCCUGCUGCAUGGUGGGGGUUGGAAAGUUUCGGCGGUUGGGGAUGGACUCGCGGCUUAUCAGCUUGUUGGUGGGGUAGUGGCUUACCAAGGCUUUGACGGGUAGCCGGCCUGAGAGGGGGACCGGCGACAUGGGGACUGAGAUACGGCCCAGUCGCGUACGGGAGGCAGCAGUGGGAAGUAUUGCACAAUGGGCGGAAGCCUGAUGCGGAAGCGCCGCGUGCGGGAUGACGGCCUUCGGGUUGUAAACCGCUUUCGCCUGUGACGAAGCGUGAGUGACGGUAAUGGGUAAAGAAGCACCGGCUAACUACGUG